GCCAUUAUAUUUUUGUAAACUGGGACUCGCUGCAGUUGCAGAACUCAGCUUGUUGCCGAGACAUCAGUGUGUUCCUUUAGGCCAUUUGAACUUCUCAGAAGCAGCAAAGCUUGUUUGGGGGGUGAGGGCUGUGAGCAGAAGAACAGAGAGGAAAAUGACUGAGAGAGAGGUCAUAAACACUUUAGCUCAGUGCUGGCAGCAGUGAUGUAAAU